rnacentral:rRNA from 1 species
AACGAACGCUGGCGGCAGGCUUAACACAUGCAAGUCGAGCGCACUCUUUUAGAGUGAGCGGCAAACGGGUGAGUAACGCGUGGGAAUCUACCCAUCUCUACGGAAUAACACAGAGAAAUUUGUGCUAAUACCGUAUACGUCCUUAGGGAGAAAGAUUUAUCGGAGAUGGAUGAGCCCGCGUUGGAUUAGCUAGUUGGUGAGGUAACGGCUCACCAAGGCGACGAUCCAUAGCUGGUCUGAGAGGAUGAUCAGCCACACUGGGACUGAGACACGGCCCAGACUCCUACGGGAGGCAGCAGUGGGGAAUAUUGGACAAUGGGGGCAACCCUGAUCCAGCCAUGCCGCGUGAGUGAUGAAGGCCCUAGGGUUGUAAAGCUCUUUCACCGGUGAAGAUAAUGACGGUAACCGGAGAAGAAGCCCCGGCUAACUUCGUGCCAGCAGCCGCGGUAAUACGAAGGGGGCUAGCGUUGUU